CUUCCCUCUUCUUCUGCUUUGGCCGCGAUACAAUAGCAGCGACGUGAAGUCGGUCUUCUUCGCGUCCGACCUCCUCUACGCCCUCUCCUCCUUCUCCGACGGUCCCGCCUCCCCCAAUCGGUCUUGCCUCCUCCAGAUGGCCGCGGUAGCCGGGCGGAAUUGGCGUGGGGUCCAUGACGGAUGGUGUAGAGGACGGUGGUGGGGCGGGUCCUUGGAUGGUGCACC
rnacentral:lncRNA from 1 species